UCCCAGUUAAAAGGCUCCAGGUCCCUGGACCAGGCAGAGUGAGCUCCUGGGGCCUCUUCCUCUGGGUCAGAAUCAGCCUCAGCAUGGGACGCCCACUGCCUGCUGCCAGGUGCACCUGGAUCUUCCUGCUCUUGCUGCUGGAAGCCUGUGCAGGGCACUGGAGGGCACAGCAGAGCAAGGUACUGGGGGCCAGGGGCUCAGGGCCCAUUCGCAGCCUGGGAAGGCGGCUUUGUUCCAGGGCAUUCAGCUGUCAUGUCAGGGUGUCUUCAUAGAUGUCACAACUGGGUCCUCACAGAAGCCCACUGUCAAAAAUAAAAAAAAAAAUUGUGGGUGGCCCUGGCUGGUGUGGCUCGGGUGGUUGAGCGGGGUGCCAUGCACCAACAGGUCACCAGUUCAAUUCCCAUCAGGACGCAGGUCCAGGUUUUGGGCUGCAUCCCCAGUAGGGGGCAUGCAGGAGGCAGCUGGUUGAUGUUUCUCUCUCUCUCUCCCUCUCCCUUCCUUUCUCUCCAAAAUCAACAAAAACAUGUAUUUAAAAACCUAGCUGGUUUGGCUCAGUGGAUAGAGCGUCGGCCUGUGGACUGAAGGGUCCCAGGUUCGAUUCUGGUCAAGGGCACAUGCCCGGGUUGCAGGCUCGAUCCCCAGUGGGGGGCGUGCAGGAGGCAGCCGAUCAAUGAUUCUCUCUUAUCAUUGAUGUUUCUAUCUCUCUCUCCCUUCCUCUCUGAAAUCAAUAAAAAUAUGUUUUAAAAA